rnacentral:rRNA from 1 species
CGAGUUUGAUCCUGGCUCAGGAUGAACGCUAGCGGUAUGCUUAACACAUGCAAGUCGUACGGAAAAGUAAUUUUUAGUGGCGAACGGGUGAGUAACACGUGAGAAUCUGCCUUUAGGAAGAGGAUAACAUUUAGAAACAUUUGCUAAUACUCUAUAUGCUUUACAGUGAAAGAAUUUAUUCGCCUAAAGAGGAGCUCGCGUCUGAUUAGCUAGUUGGUGGGGUAAAGGCCUACCAAGGCGACGAUCAGUAGUUGGUCUGAGAGGACGGCCAGCCACAUUGGAACUGAGACACGGUCCAGACUCUUACGGGAGGCAGCAGUGAGGAAUUUUCUACAAUGGACGAAAGUCUGAUAGAGCAAUACCGCGUGAGGGAUGACUGCCUACGGGUUGUAAACCUCUUUUCUCAAGGAGGAAGAUAUGACGUUACUUGAGGAAUAAGCAUCGGCUAACCCUGUGCCAGCAGCCGCGGUAAUACAGGGGAUGCAAGUGUUAUCCGGAAUUAUUGGGCGUAAAGCGUCUGCAGGUUGAUCUACAAGUCUUUUGUUAAAUUUUCAGGCUUAACCUGAAGUCAGCAAAAGAAACUGUUUAUCUUGAGUAUGGUAGAGGUAAGGGGAAUUUCCAGUGGGGCGGUGAAAUGCGUAGAUAUUGGAAAGAACACCAACAGCGAAGGCACCUUACUGGGCCAUUACUGACACUCAGAGACGAAAGCUAGGGUAGCAAACGGGAUUAGAUACCCCGGUAGUCCUAGCCG